GCAGAACGCGAAGAACCUUACCCACCUUGACAUGUACGGAAUCCUUUAGAGAUAGAGGAGUGCUCGAAAGAGAGCCGUAACACAGGUGCUGCAUGGCUGUCGUCAGCUCGUGUCGUGAGAUGUUGGGUUAAGUCCCGCAACGAGCGCAACCCUUGUCAUUAGUUGCUACGAAAGGGCACUCUAAUGAGACUGCCGGUGACAAACCGGAGGAAGGUGGGGAUGACGUCAAGUCCUCAUGGCCCUUAUAGGUGGGGCUACACACGUCAUACAAUGGCUGGGUACAAAGGGUUGCCAACCCGCGACGGGGGGAGCUAAUCCCCAUAAAAGCCAGUCGUAGUCCGGAUCGCAGUCUGCAACUCGACUGCGUGAAGUCGGAAUCGCUAGUAAU
rnacentral:rRNA from 1 species